rnacentral:misc_RNA from 1 species
UGAAAGCAUAGUCAAGGCGCUGGAGACCUUUCAUAGUGUCCGCUAUAAUUAGCGCCUCCUGAUCUUUGACAUCAGAAGGUUCAACACUGUCGGGCAGCUCCCAAAUAGGCAUGUUUCUUCGGAGAUGAGUCAAGGACUUGCACUCUGUUCCGAAAGCUUUCAGACCCUUCUCUGUGACCUUAAAACAGUAGCUGAUGUCCAAGAAGGUUAGAUUGGCCAAGCACCCCACAUACUUUACAACCACGUCGUCAGUAACUUCACACAUAGGGAUUUGCAGUGUCUUGAGACAUCUUCCACGGCUAGCAGCAAAGGAGAAUCCGACAUCGCCGAGACGGAAAGUGGAAAGUCGCCGGAAUGUGGACCUGCUCCGGCGAACAAUUUUACGAACAACCUGGUCAAUCAAGUGGGGACGAUUAGCAACGCAGCAAUCACGGCACCACUGUUCCAGAUCAAUAUCCGUCCAGCAGUAUGGACCGGAAACUAUCUCCAUCCAAUUUCGGCAAACUAAGGCCACUGACUUCACCAUCAGCACCGGCGGAACAAUCCUUACGAAAAUUGAAGCUAAUAACUCCGGGCUUAACUCAUCCCACCUACCACCGGUGGAACAAACAGCGUCGUUUUCAACUCUAACGCAUACCCUUUUGCUCUUACCAUUA